UACGGAGGGUGCGAGCGUUGUCCGGAAUCAUUGGGCGUAAAGGGCGCGUAGGUGGCCCGGUCAGCGUGCGGUGAAAGCUCGGGGCUCAACCCCGAGUCGGCCGUGCGAACUGCUGGGCUCGAGCACUGUAGAGGCAGGCGGAAUUCCGGGUGUAGCGGUGGAAUGCGUAGAGAUCCCGAGGAAUACCAGUGGUGAAGACGGUGCCCUGGGCCAUACCUGACGCUGAGAUGCGAAAGCGUGGGGAGCGAACGGG
rnacentral:rRNA from 1 species